AUUGUUCUCACUUAAUACAUGAGAAAAUGCAAUAUUUGGCUGUUUUUGCGUUAAUUCACGUAGGAUAAUGACCUUCAGCUGCAUCUGUGUUGCUGCAAAGGACAUGAUUUUGUUCUUUUUUAUGACUGCCUAGUACUUUGUGGUGUAUAUGCACCACAUUUUCUUUAUUUAAUGAACCGUUGGUGGAUACUUACCUUGGUUCCAUGACCUUGCUGUUAAGUUGAACUAAUUGACACCUACCACCGCUUGCUGGAGGUUGAGGACGCCCAGUGAGUGUGCACCCGGGCUGGAGAAGGGAGGAGGUAUGGCCCGGAAAAGAGACACAGAAAGGUGGAUGAUGCCCACCUGGCUGCUGAUGACUUCUGCACCAAGUGAGGCUGGGUCUCUGGAGCUGCCCCAGGGGCUGGACAAGCUGACCCUGCCUGGAGCCAACCUGGAGAUGCAGCCUGAGAACCUCAAGGAGGACCUGGUCUACCUGAAGAAGAACCAUGAGGAGGUGAGUUCAGCUCAGGGAAUGCAGCAGAAAUUCACCUGGAAGCAAGCGAGGCUGGGGCCCAGAACCUCCCUGGGUUGGGCCAUGCUUCCAGUCCAGUUCCCAUCCUUUAUGGAUGCCUAGCUCUGACCCUCAGAGGACCCUGGGUGAGGCCUGGAGGAGCCCUUUUCUCAAAUAGACUUCAUUUGUCCCUUGAGGCUCAGCUCACUGCAGUUAACUAACUAAU
ensembl:lncRNA novel transcript